rnacentral:rRNA from 1 species
AACGAACGCUGGCGGCGUGCCUAACACAUGCAAGUCGAACGAGACCUUCGGGUCUAGUGGCGCACGGGUACGUAACGCGUGGGAAUCUGCCCUUGGGUUCGGAAUAACAGCGAGAAAUUGCUGCUAAUACCGGAUGAUGACGUAAGUCCAAAGAUUUAUCGCCCAAGGAUGAGCCCGCGUAGGAUUAGCUAGUUGGUGAGGUAAAGGCUCACCAAGGCGACGAUCCUUAGCUGGUCUGAGAGGAUGAUCAGCCACACUGGGACUGAGACACGGCCCAGACUCCUACGGGAGGCAGCAGUGGGGAAUAUUGGACAAUGGGCGAAAGCCUGAUCCAGCAAUGCCGCGUGAGUGAUGAAGGCCUUAGGGUCGUAAAGCCCUGUCGCAGGGGAAGAAUAAGCAUCGGUAUAAUACGCCGGUGCCCUGACGGUACCCUGCAAGAAAGCACCGGCUAACUCCGUGCCAGCAGCCGCGGUAAU